GUGUGUUGUCCUAUAGUAAAACGU
rnacentral:siRNA from 1 species